rnacentral:pre_miRNA from 1 species
AGGAGGAACAACCACAGUGGCGUUGGCCAGCUCUGGAGCCCUGGAUUCAGCUCCCGCAGUAACUUCGCGGAACUCUCAGUCUGCAGGGGCGGGGAUGCUCCGGGGGCGG